rnacentral:rRNA from 1 species
AUUGAACGCUGGCGGCAGGCCUAACACAUGCAAGUCGAGCGGAUCGGCGGCCGGGUGAGUAAUGCCUAGGAAUCUGCCUGGUAGUGGGGGAUAACGUCCGGUAACGGGCGCUAAUACCGCAUACUAUCAGAUGAGCCUAGGUCGGAUUAGCUAGUUGGUGGGGUAAAGGCCUACCAAGGCGACGAUCCGUAGCUGGUCUGAGAGGAUGAUCAGUCACACUGGAACUGAGACACGGUCCAGACUCCUACGGGAGGCAGAAGUGGGGAAUAUUGGACAAUGGGCGAAAGCCUGAUGCAGCCAUGCCGCGUGUAUGAAGAAGGUCUUAGGAUUGUAAAGCACUUUAAGUUGGGAGGCGUUACCAGCAGAAGAAGCACCGGCUAACUUCGUGCCAGCAGCCGCGGUAAUUC